CACUUAGUAAUGGUAGGAUUUAAACUGCAAAGUAAUUACUAAAACCUAACAUGAAAGUUAACUACGGUAACACUUGAAUGAUUGAAUCCAUCCAUAUCAACUUUCACAAGUAAUCAAAUCAACAAAAUUCAGUUUCAACAUCAACAAAUUUUAACUUACAAGAGCAGCAGAACUUUGUACACACCUUAAUAUCCCAGAAAUUCAGAAAACCCACAAUACAAUUACAACAAUUACAGGAUCGAUUUGGUCUUCACCAUGAACUGCAUCAGUAUCACACGCUCAAAAUCUAUGUACAAGAAGAGAUUAAGCACGAAAUGAG
rnacentral:lncRNA from 1 species